UACAGAGGGUACAAGCGUUGUUCGGAAUUAUUGGGCGUAAAGCGCGUGUAGGCGGCUUUGCAAGUCGGGUGUGAAAGCCCUCAGCUUAACUGAGGAAGUGCGCCCGAAACUGCUUGGCUUGAGUACCGGAGAGGAUGGCGGAAUUCCCCAAGUAGAGGUGAAAUUCGUAGAUAUGGGGAGGAACACCGGUGGCGAAGGCGGCCAUCUGGACGGAUACUGACGCUGAGACGCGAAAGCGUGGGUAGCAAACAGG
rnacentral:rRNA from 1 species